UACGUAGGGCGCAAGCGUUGUCCGGAAUUAUUGGGCGUAAAGAGCUCGUAGGCGGUUUGUUGCGUCGGCUGUGAAAUCCCGAGGCUCAACCUCGGGUCUGCAGUCGAUACGAGCAAACUAGAGUGUUGCAGGGGAGACUGGAAUUCCUGGUGUAGCGGUGAAAUGCGUAGAUAUGUGGAGGAACACCGAUGGCGAAGGCAGCCUUCUGGGCCAACACU
rnacentral:rRNA from 1 species